CAGGAGGAGAGUGUAGAACAUUGAUGACCUAAAAGCCAGAAUUACAACCGCAAUAGCCUCUGUGGAUGCCGACAUGCUUGAAGGUACCUUGCGUGAAAUUGAACAUCAACUUGAUAUUCUCCGUGCGACGAAGGGGGCACACGUGGAAUAAACAUCACAAUGGGUCCGGGACUUAAUAAACACCCUGUAUUUUUGAACGGAAAAUAAGCUUCAAGUUUAUUGCGAUUUCGUGGAAUAGCGUUGAAUGUAUAUAGAGACAUUUUGUACUGAAGCUACGUCGGUAUGUGUUCUGUAUAUAGUUUCAUCCAUUGCUUCAUUUUGUAAAAACAAGAGACAUUAAUAAAAAGAAGUACCAAAUUUA